UUAGAAGGUGUAACCAUUGCUGAAACUGCUGUAACCACUUCCUUGGCCUCCCCAGAGGGCUUGGCGACACUUGCAGAUGUAGAGCGCUGACACGUCAGAACGCUGCAGCCUUGGGAAGAGUAUUUCUAUACCUCUAAAAUCUUGUGUCUGACUCUUCAACCCAAAAGCCUCUCCAGGCAGAAGAGGGGAGAAGACAAAACUAUGAUUCCUCCAUUGAGAAAGUCCAUACAGCCAAAGCCAGAUUUCCACUUCCGGAAGGUCACCUGCCUACGUCAGUCCACUUUAUUUUCAAAGAAAAGGAGAAGACACUAAUUCUCUCCUGUAGUUCAAAUAACUCAUCGUAUCGCUUCACCUUGGGGCUAUCAAUGUACCGUAAAUAAUAGUCCUCUCGCACAGUCACCGAGAACCAGCCUGGAGGCUUAUUAGCCUCACAAUCUGAGGAAGGGGCUAAUCCAACUUUGCCCCCUCCCAGACUGUGUUGAACUCAGUACAGAUAGAGGCCAGAAUCUGAGCCAUAAACUCCAGGUGCUGCUGGAUAAGAUACUGUAUCCGAAAAUAAUCAGAAGUCUGAUUCACAAGGAAAUGCCAUGUUUUCACCAAUGUGCAGCUGUUGAAAUUGAUUAGCCCUGAUAGAAUGCUAGAUGUAUUUGUUAUUUGUACAGUUUGAUUCACUUUUCUGACCUGUGGUUCUCAAACCCUUGCUUAAU